rnacentral:rRNA from 1 species
CAGUACCACGGUAAUACGUAGGGCGCAAGCGUUAUCCGGAAUUAUUGGGCGUAAAGAGCUCGUAGGCGGUUUGUCGCGUCUGCCGUGAAAGUCCGGGGCUCAACCCCGGAUCUGCGGUGGGUACGGGCAGACUAGAGUGAUGUAGGGGAGACUGGAAUUCCUGGUGUAGCGGUGAAAUGCGCAGAUAUCAGGAGGAACACCGAUGGCGAAGGCAGGUCUCUGGGCAUUAACUGACGCUGAGGAGCGAAAGCAUGGGGAGCGAACAGGAUUAGAUACCCGUGUAGUCCCUGUCUCUUAUACA